CUGUCGACAAACUCCAGUUUAUUCAGUGGGAAGUACAAGAAACAUUGACAACAUCUGUUUUUAUUUGAUAAAAUCCUUACAAAUAUCAAACCACUGUAUCCCCUCCACUAUUUAUUUUCAAUGCAGGAAAAACAGCUAAAACUUAUUUUAUUUCUAAUAUGAACACACACAGCAGUAGCCUCAUUAUUCCUGUCCUCAGGCAAAUCAGUUCUUCACGCCCUUUACACAAUGUGUAAACUUCAUUCAUGAUGUUCCGCAGCUACUCACACGACAGGGAAACAUACCAGAUGCAACAUCAGAUCAAAAAAGAAAGUGAAAAAACACACACGCCAGCAAUUAUACUCUACACAUAUAAUUGUCAUUUGAAUGAGACCACACUCAAGUCUUUUUAUAUCUACCUGGGUCCUCCUGCCUAUCCUGGUUAGCGGAGACUGAAAAAAAAGUGCCUGCAGGUUUUACAUUUGGCCAUUCUUGUCCACAGCUCCUGCUGCUGCAUUGGCUCUAUUGCUUCUCCCAUAGCCAGUUUUCUUUUUCUCACUGCUCAAAAUACUGUAUUGCAGUGAGAGGACCUGCAGUAACAGAAGCAACUUAAGCUCCCCUUUAGAGGAGGCACUCUACUGGAGUGGAGGAGAGAACAAUAAGACUGACUUAUCUAUCUAUCUAUCUAAACUAAGCUAAACAACCUAUUUAUUUAUAGAGGAAUACGAGGGAUUCAGGAAUCUCUGCAAGCUUGGCCAUGCUUGUAUGGUAUCCCCUCAAUUUUCCCCUCCUGGAGGAUGGGUCACAGUACCAGUGGAGGAGGCAACAGGUGCAGCCUACAAAACCUACAGUCCUAGGCAUCUUGGAGAAAGAAAUAGUCGCAUGGAAGGGUGGCUUUCCCUCCAUGUGGCUGCUCUGACACUUCCUCCCAAUCCUGCAGGAGUUGUGUGGCCACUGGCUGAUUCUCCCUUGGCUUCACGGUUACAGCCCUGGAGGGAGUCAGGGGGAGUUACCACCACUUCAUGCGGCAUUAAAUCCUGAUUGGAUUUUUGAGCAGAAAUCCACAGACUCAACAGGGACAUUGCUGUAGAGAGUGGCUGGUCCUUUGCUCCACUCCCAUCAACAUCCAGCUUUGUUCUCAAAACAAGGCAUGGCACCAACUCCCCAGAAGACCAGUGGAGAAGUGCUGAAGGAAAAGGAUUGAGAGGAAAGAGCUACUGAGAUUUCAGUUCCCUUUGCUUACAGAAGCAGAAGGAACAGUUUAGGCCAUAAUUUUCCUAUUUUGAGAGCUACAGCUAGUUCACUAAAAACAAAAGAAGAAAAUUGCCUUAAUAAAAAUUACAUUCCAAUAACGAAAAGCAUCUGAGAGAAACACAAACUCAAGGUGAUUCACAGGUAAAGCCUAAGCUUCCAAUCCAUGGGCACCGUGAGACAUCACCCUAAUGUGCCCUGUUAACUGUGAAUUGUGAAUAUGUCAGAUCCUUAACUUUAUCUAAAUGUAGGGGAAACGAAGAGGAGUCCGACUAACACGGCUACCCCUCUGAUAAACGUAGGGGGUUUUUGUCAUGUGAAUUAAAUGUAACUUUAUCGGCCUCAGCUGUGUCUGACAGAGAGCCCUGAGCAUGGGGCAAUGCUCCAGCAUGUACAUGGAAGCAUUACACAUCAGAGAAGCACAAUAUCUUCAGCGUGGGGUGUUCUCUUUUCUGGCAAGGGUGUACAGCAUGCUCUGCAUCCCUGGCCAGGAGAGCUGGCUGGUAGGAAGCAGGAUGGGGCAAGAGGAGGCAGAGCCAUCUUCUGAAGUGGCUAGUGCACGUUUGAGUGUUAGGAAUGCACUUUAAGCAAUAUGGGAUCAUGUCAAAUACAUUCUACAGACCCAUGUUCCAGACCAUGCUCACCUGCUGGAUGAGAGAUGCAAGGGAGGGAGGCUUCAUGCAUCCUUCCCCAUUGAACACCCCUGUAGGUGCGAGGAACUGUCUGGCUUACAUGAGGUGGAAUUUGGGCAUACAGAAUCCAUAUGAUAUGAUCGCAUAUUGCUUACUAGCAUUGUAUUGCUAAACCAUGGUGCAAUGUACCAGCAUUCCUAUGAUGCAGACAAAACAAAGGGAUGGUAAUACAUUCAUAGGCACUGACUCCGUGAGUAUUCCAGGGCUGGAACACCCAUGGAAAAAAUUAGUGGGUGCACUACACCCACCGGCAGCCAGCUCCCUUCGUCCCCUCAGCACCUCCCGUCUGCCGGUGCCCCACUGAUCAACUUCUCCCCCUUCCUCCCAGUGCCUCCCACCUGCCACAAUCAGCUGUUUUGCAGCAUGCAGGAGGCCCUGGGGGAGAGGGGAGGAGCGGGGAUGGGGCACACUCGAGGGAGGGGGCAGAACUGAGUGGGAAGAGGUGGGACGGGGGUGCAGUGGGGGCGGGAAGAGGCAGAACAGGGUUUGGGGGAAGGGGUGAGAUGGGGCAGUGCCUGGGGUGUGGGUGGGAAGAGGCGGAGCAGGAGUUUGGGGGAAAGGGUCGUGUGGGAGUGGGGCCUGGGGCAGAGCGGGGGGUUGAGCACCCCUGGGGCCCGGAGGAAGUUAAUGCCUGUAAAUACAUUUGUAUACUUUGUGGGUUAAAUGUCAUUAGUGGAUACUAUAUUUUUUAGUAAAUCUAUCAUGGCGUCCCAGCUUAAACAGGAUCACUUUGCUUAUGAUCAGUAAUGAAAUCCUACCAGCUUUAAAUAUUAAUUUCUCCUUGAAAAUUAAAGGAAGAGGCCAGUCUAGUCCCUAAAGAAAGAUUUAUGGUGUUAAAAAAAUGGGCUUAGCCCUUCAGGGGGCUAUGUAUCCUCAACUGCAACUGACAUGAAAGGGAGUUGAGGGUGUCCAGUACCUUGCAGGAGUUGCUCAGCACUUUGUAGGAUCAGACUCAAUAUGUAGGAUUGCAUUCACAUGCACAGACUGAAACAAAGUUGUUCAGUAAGCUCUGCUGCAAACACUAACACCACAAUGCACACGUACCAA